rnacentral:rRNA from 1 species
UACGAAGGGGGCUAGCGUUGCUCGGAAUCACUGGGCGUAAAGCGCACGUAGGCGGCUUUUUAAGUCAGAGGUGAAAUCCUGGAGCUCAACUCCAGAACUGCCUUUGAUACUGGAGAGCUUGAGUCCGGGAGAGGUGAGUGGAACUGCGAGUGUAGAGGUGAAAUUCGUAGAUAUUCGCAAGAACACCAGUGGCGAAGGCGGCUCACUGGCCCGGUACUGACGCUGAGGAGCGAAAGCAUGGGGAGCGAACAGG